rnacentral:rRNA from 1 species
UACGGAGGGUGCAAGCGUGAUCCGGAUUCACUGGGUUUAAAGGGUGCGUAGGCGGGUAAGUAAGUCCGUGGUGAAAUCUCUGAGCUUAACUCAGAAACUGCCGUGGAUACUAUUUGCCUUGAAUAUUGUGGAGGUGAGCGGAAUAUGUCAUGUAGCGGUGAAAUGCUUAGAUAUGACAUAGAACACCAAUUGCGAAGGCAGCUCACUACACAACCAUUGACGCUGAGGCACGAAAGCGUGGGGAUCAAACAGG